CACACAAACCCACUGCAUGAGACAAAGCCUCACUGUCUACUGCAUAUCAGACCCCCCCCUCCUCCAAGACUAAUGAACUGACCUCAAAUUGACUGUCCUGAUCCAGGACUCCCAAGUCUCCAGAUCGAGUGAUGAUGCACUGUGCUCCUACAGUAUUAUAAAGCUAGUCUGUGAUCCAGCAGAAUCGUGUUACAGAGAAGACUGCUCUCCCCAGCUUUGUAAAUCCUAAUGGGGAUAAGCAGUGAGUGUCCUUUGCUUGCAGUCAGAACUGUCCUGAUUGUCUCUCAUUGAUGGUGUCUCUUCCCUUCUCCUCCCAUGGUUUGUGGCUGUCCUGCCUCCUCAGUAUCAAAGCUCAUUAUUCGGCUGUGAACUGCACAGAAGCCGGGGCUACUUAAAGGGGAAGAAGGUGCUAGGAAAUAGCUAGCCUCCGACAAGAACAUUCUGAGCAAUCCUCCGCUCUCUUCUUUUCCCCUCCUCUUAUCUGUAGAACAGCCUACUUUCCGUGGUGAUGCUCGAGCAGACUAUGUGUUGAAUUCGACUAACAGCCCAUGUAACUUCUUAUUUCCUGCCGCAUACGAUUUUCC